rnacentral:lncRNA from 1 species
AGACGUAUACAGAGGAAGAAGAACAUUGAAAAGAUGAGGAACAUCAUGAACAAAUAUUUGAAACUGACCUGGACUGACAAGGAGAUGGAACUCUACCUGAAUCCCUCACAGGGCCCUUAUGGAUUCCAGAGCCCUCAUAAUAUUUACACCUCACUCUGAUGACAAGGAUUUAUCUGGUUAAAGAUACAGUAUAUAUUUUUCACGAAACCCAACACCUAAACCCAUUUUUUAAACAAGGAGUUUUGUUUUAGUGCUGGAGGGAAAAGCAGCUUUGUGUGUUUUCUUGAGUAAAAUGUAUCCAACUCUUAUUAAGAUAUUUACGGAAUUGUCAUAGGUGUGUAGAAUAGGCAGGAAAAAGUGGCUCUCAAAGAUAUCCAUUCCCUAAAAACUAAAACCUAUGUAUAUAUUAUCUUAGUGAAAGGCACUUUGAAAAUAUGGUUAUAGUAUGAACCUUGAGGUGGGGAGAUGAUUCUUGAUUAUCAUGAUGUACCAGAUUUAAUCAAAUGAGUAAUUUAACGUUAAGAAACUUCUCUAGCUUUGGUCAGAGAGAUAUGUAAUGAAAGAAGGGUCAGAGGGGUAUGUCACUUGAGAAGGACCCGAGCCAUUAUUACUGGCUUUGAAGAGAGAGGAAGGAGCUAUGAGUCAAGGGAUGUGGUGGCUGCUAGAAGCUGAGAAUGGUCCAUAGCUGACAGCCAAGAAAAAACAUGCUAGCAGCCCAAGGAGCAGGAAAUACAUUAUCCCCUAGAACCUCCAGGAAAAGCACACCCUUGGUUUCAGCCUCUUCUGUACUUCUGACCUAACAGAAUUGUAUGGUAAUACAUUUGCACUUUUAAAGUCACCAAUAUGUAAUAAUUUGCUAUAGAUGCAAUAGAAAACAUACAGUAAAAUGGACUAUGAAUCGUUAUCAUAUUAUGCAAUGAUACUGGAUCUUUACUACUCUGUAUGGUAUAAUCUACUUCUGUGAAUUGAUCCAUUCAAUACAUUUUUAUUGAAUAUAUAUUUUGCACAAGGAUAUAUACCAGUCACUGAGGACAACAGCUGAAAGAACAGAUGCUCCUAUCGAUUAAAUUUUCAGAGAUUGAGUUUGAUAUCUAAGAUUUUUUUAUUUCUAUAAGUAAUCAAGAGGCUAAAUCUGGAGGUAUAAGAAACUUUUUAAUUAAGAAAAACAAGAAUCAGAUUUAAUCUAACCAAUGACAUAUUUCAGUUUAUCAGGUUUAGAGAGGUCAAUUCAGUAAUACCACAGAGUGAAUCCCAACUUGUGUUCUCCAGAUACCUUUUUUUAAUAGUUAUUUUCCCUAAUACAAUUUUUUUCUACUGUACAGCAUAGUGAUGCAGUUACACAUACAUGUACACAUUCUAUUUUCGCACAUUAUCAUGCUCCAUCAUAAGUGACUAGACAUAGUUCCCAGGGCUACACAUCAGGAUCUCAUUGCUAAUCCAUUCCAAAGGCAAUAGUUUGUAUCUAUGAACCUCAAGCUCCGGAAAGGUUCAACUCCCACCCCUUCCCCUUUGGCAAGCACAGGUCUAUUCUCCAAGUACAUGAUUUUCUUUUCUGUGGAAAGGUUCAUUUGUGCCAUAUGUUAGAUUCCAGAUAUAAGUGAUAUCACAUGGUAUUUGGCUUUCUCUUUCUGACUUACUUCACUCAAUAUGAGAGUCUCUAGUUCCAUUCAUGUUGCUGCAAAUGGCUUUAUUUUGUUUUUUAUGGCUGAGUAGAUACCAGAUCUUCCUAAUCCAGUCAUCUGUCGAUGGAUGUUUGGGUUGUUUCCAUGUCUUGGCUAUUGUGAAUAGAGCUGCAAUGAACAUGCAGGUGCAUGUGUCUUUUUUAAGGCAAGUUUUGUCCAGAUAUAUGCCCAAGAGUGGGAUUGCUGGAUCGUAUGUUAGUUCUACGUAUAGAUUUCUAAGGUAUCUCCAUAGUGGUUGUACCAGCUAACAUUCCCACCACCAGUGCAGGAGGGUUCCCUUUUCUCCACACCCUCUCCAGCAUUUGUUAUUUGUGGACUUAUUAAUUAUGCCAGAUACCUUAAGGUCUUUGUAUAUUUAGUCAUGAUAAAUGUCAUGGGGGAUAAAUGAAUGGACAGCGAUCUUUGUUUUUCAGCAGCUGUUUAACGUCAGGUAAAUGGUCUUUUUUUUUUAACUGUUCAAACUCAUUCCCAUUCAGCUAAUUUAUUUGCUAAGUUGAAUAGACUCUUAUUAACUACCUCUUAAAAGAAUUAUUAUAUUCUCUAGCCAAAGUACCACUGUCCUGAUCCAAGUCCCCAUGAUCUCUUGCAAGGAUUUCUGUAGCACUGUGAUGGUUGGACUGCCAACCAAAAAUGCUGUUCCUUCACUAUGCACAGUUCCAUACAUUGUCUAUAUUUAAUGUUAUAAACAUAGAACAAUUUUGCUACUCCUCUGCUGAAAGCCUUUGUAUAUAUUUUCCUAAAAAUAAACCACACAUUCCCUAAUAUUGCUCUCAAGGCUUCUAUAAACUUGACUACUAUCUAUCUGCUAAAAUUCCCUAUCACUCUCCCUUUUACACUCUAUGUAUCUCUCAUUUCCUUGAAGAUUCAGGUUUUCACACUGCUUUUUAUUCUGCUCACAAUACUUUCCCCCCCAUUUGGUCUGUGUCUUUUUUACCCAUACUUUGGCAACCAGCAUUAAGACAUUUUCCUUAGUAGCAGUUCCCUCACCAAACAGGUCAAGUUUAAUUAUCUUUAUUAUGUUUUCAUAACUUCUCCUUUUAUGUGGAUCUUCACACUAUAUUGUAUUUAAUUUUCCAAAUUAAUAGAAGAGUCUCUCUUAAAUGACAGGUAUAAGAUGACCCAAAAUAAUUCUGUUCCAUAAAUAAGAGUAUAUAUCACUCCAUUGUUUGGUCUUGUGUAUUUUUACCAAGUUAAAUUGCCUGGCCACCUGUCUUUAUGUCAGUGUUUCUCAAAUUACUUAUUGACUGAAAUUUCUAAAAUUGCUUUUUGGAAUCUAUUAGCUUCAUUGAUAAGGAUCCAUAGAAGCAGAACUCUUUGAAUGAUACUUUGUUUAUGACAGCUUUCCGUAUUAGUUGGGCUGGAUAUAAAAUCCUUGCUUUACAAUUUCAUUCCUUUAGGACUUAAAAUGUAUUACACUGCUUUCUAUCAAAAUGAAGUGUAUUUGAAAAAUUAAUCUCGUGUCAGUCUUAUUUUCUCUUAUCCUGAAGUGAUCUGAACUUUUUGCCUGAAUGAACAGAGGAUAUUCUAUUUCUUCAAAGUUGAGUAAUUCUAUUACAAUGUGUCUUGCUAAAAUCAACAACCUGUGUCAAUUUUUCCCAGUUGCCCUUUCAGUAUGAAAGUGUACAUCUUAAUUUGAGAACUUUUCUUGGGCUAUAUUUAAUAGCACCAAAUGUAUAUGUUUUCCACUGUUUUUGUCUUCUUUUUCUGCAUUGCUAUUACACUGUACCUGAUUAUCUUUGCCUUUCCUCUAUAGUCCUUUUUUAAAAUCUUUUUAUCAUUGUUUUCAUUCACAUCUAUAAUUUUCAUUUUUCUCUUUUCCAUUAUCUAGUUUCUUUAUGAGAUUCCCUGUGCUAUCUAUACACUCAUGGCUUCUAAUUUAGCCUUUAUUUUCAUUUUUUUUCCAUUUUAUUUAUAAUCUUUCCUGAAUUUUGUCAGCUCUCUUUUUAGGGCCUACUGUUUCCCAUUAUCUUAUUUAAUAAUGUUUCUUUUUUUUUUUUUGGAAUCUUUUUGCCUUUUCUAGGGCCACUUCUCAUGGCAUAUGGAGGUUCCCAGGCUAGGGGUCUAAUUGGAGUUGUAGCCACUGGCCUACACCACAGCCUAGCAACACGGGAUCUGAACUGUGUCUGCAACCUACACCACAGCUCAUGGCAAUGCCAGAUCCUCAACCCACUGAGCAAGGCCAGGGAUCAAACCCGCAACCUUAUGGUUCCUAGUCAGAUUCGUUAACCACUGAGCCACGAAUGGGAACCCCUAAUAAUGUUUAUAAUUUUGGUUUAGUUUUAGCUUAUUAUGAAAUAUAACUCAUAGCCUGAGGCCAAUUUUUUUAGUAUUUCUUCAAUUUGUACAGGUCUGUAGAUUGUUUUGUUUUUUCUAUAUAAUAUCUUGGUGUUGUUUUGAAUCAUUGUAUUUUCUCUGUUGUUUCUGUAAAAACUUAUGUAUUUCCCUUCUGAACAAGAUAAAGUAACAGUGAUCCAAUUUACCAUCCCUGCUUUAAAAAAAAAAAAAAAAGUGUAAUUAGGAGUUCUUGGUGUGGUGCAGCGAGUAAAUAAUACAACUUCAGUAGCUUGGCUCUUGUGUAUUUUUAUACAGGUUUAAUCCCCAGUCCAAUACAGAGGGUUAAAUGAUCUGGCAUUGCUUCAGCUAUGGCUCCUAUUCAGUCCCUGGCUUGGGAGCUUCCAUAUGCUAUGGGUGUGGCCAUUUAGAAAAAUACAAACAUACAAAUUUAUGUAAAGUUAUACUAUAUAAAAAAAAUUGCACUUUAAAAGAUUGGAAAUGAUGAACAUGCUAAUUAGCAUGAUUGUGGUGACCAUUUCACCAUAUAUACCUAUAACAAAAUAUCACACUUUGUACCUUAAAUAUAUAAUUUUUAUUUGUCAAUUAAACUUCAAUACAGCUGAAAAGAUAAAUUUAUAAUGUUGUAAAUAGAAUAUUAAUGUUAAAUGUCAUAUGAUAUGUAGUAAUAAAACAUGGUCUUAAACAACUAUGAGCUGUUUGGAAUAAAUAUUUUUAAACA